UCUGGGGACAGCCUCCCAUGAUGACCUUUCUCUCUCUGACGGCUGUGGUGGUGAUGAUCAUCAAACCAAAGCCUCUAAGAAGUUGACUGAAGAGGCUGUUGCUCU
rnacentral:snoRNA from 1 species